rnacentral:rRNA from 1 species
GGGCCCCACCUGGAGUGGAGCCUGCGGUUUAGUUUGACUCAACACAACCUAAACUCACCCGGCCCGGACACUGGUUGGAUGAAUGAACUGACAUUUCUUUCUUGAUGCAGGGGGUGGCGGGGCAUGGCCGAUCUUAUGUGGCGGAUUGAUUUGUCUGGUUAAAUCCCAUAACAAACUAUACUCUGUGGGUUUACUGCCGGGCUUUCUUGUUUUCUGUGUUGCUUGCAUCUCCUUUACGGGAUUGGCUCGCGACCGGCGAGCGAUCAAGAGCAGGCCCGCUUAAACCCGACUGGCGGUGAUCUGCCGCACGAAAUGGAGCAAUGAAGGUCUGUGAUGCCUUUUGAUGUCCGAGAGCACACGCGCGCUACACUGAAACGCGAAGCGAGCGUCAAGGGUACCCGCGCCUAUUCCCCCGGAAAACCCCAAAAGCCUUUCGUGAUUGGGAUAGGCUUGUGCUACUCUCGUCCUUGAACUAUGAAUUCCCCGUACGUCCGACUCAUCGAGUGACGGCGAUUACGU